GGUGUGGUAGCUCAGUGGCAGAGCACCUGCUCGCCACGCGGAAGGUCCCAGGUUCGAUCCCUGGCUUCUCCA